rnacentral:rRNA from 1 species
GACGAACGCUGGCGGCGUGCUUAACACAUGCAAGUCGAGCGGGUAAGGCCCUUUCGGGGGUACACGAGCGGCGAACGGGUGAGUAACACGUGGGUGACCUGCCCUCAGCUCUGGGGAUAAAGCCCUGGGGAAAACCGGGUCUAAUACUGGAUAUGACUCCAUGACGCAUGUUGUGGGGUGGAAAGCCUUGUGCGGCUGAGGAUGGGCCCGCGGCCUAU